rnacentral:rRNA from 2 species
AUUUGUGCCUUCGGGAACUGUGAGACAGGUGCUGCAUGGCUGUCGUCAGCUCGUGUUGUGAAAUGUUGGGUUAAGUCCCGCAACGAGCGCAACCCUUAUCCUUUGUUGCCAGCGGUUAGGCCGGGAACUCAAAGGAGACUGCCAGUGAUAAACUGGAGGAAGGUGGGGAUGACGUCAAGUCAUCAUGGCCCUUACGACCAGGGCUACACACGUGCUACAAUGGCGCAUACAAAGAGAAGCGACCUCGCGAGAGCAAGCGGACCUCAUAAAGUGCGUCGUAGUCCGGAUUGGAGUCUGCAACUCGACUCCAUGAAGUCGGAAUCGCUAGUAAUCGUGGAUCAGAAUGCCACGGUGAAUACGUUCCCGGGCCUUGUACACACCGCCCGUCACACCAUGGGAGUGGGUUGCAAAAGAAGUAGGUAGCUUAACCUUCGGGAGGGCGCUUACCACUUUGUGAUUCAUGACUGGGGUGAAGUCGUAACAAGGUAACCGUAGGGGAACCUGCGGUUGGA